rnacentral:rRNA from 1 species
GAUGAACGCUGGCGGCGUGCCUAAUACAUGCAAGUCGAGCGAACGGACGAGAAGCUUGCUUCUCUGAUGUUAGCGGCGGACGGGUGAGUAACACGUGGAUAACCUACCUAUAAGACUGGGAUAACUUCGGGAAACCGGAGCUAAUACCGGAUGAUAUUUUGAACCGCAUGGUUCAAAAGUGAAAGACGGUCUUGCUGUCACUUAUAGAUGGAUCCGCGCUGCAUUAGCUAGUUGGUAAGGUAACGGCUUACCAAGGCAACGAUGCAUAGCCGACCUGAGAGGGUGAUCGGCCACACUGGAACUGAGACACGGUCCAGACCCCUACGGGAGGCAGCAGUAGGGAAUCUUCCGCAAUGGGCGAAAGCCUGACGGAGCAACGCCGCGUGAGUGAUGAAGGUCUUCGGAUCGUAAAACUCUGUUAUUAGGGAAGAACAUAUGUGUAAGUAACUGUGCACAUCUUGACGGUACCUAAUCAGAAAGCCACGGCUAACUACGUG